UACGAAGGGUGCAAACGUUGCUCGGAAUCAUUGGGCGUAAAGCGCACGUAGGCGGCGUUCUAAGUCGGAUGUGAAAUCCCUCGGCUUAACCGGGGAACUGCAUCUGAUACUGGAUGGCUUGAGUUCGGGAGAGGGAUGCGGAAUUCCAGGUGUAGCGGUGAAAUGCGUAGAUAUCUGGAGGAACACCGGUGGCGAAGGCGGCAUCCUGGACCGACACUGACGCUGAGGAGCGAAAGCCAGGGGAGCAAACGGG
rnacentral:rRNA from 1 species